rnacentral:rRNA from 1 species
GAACGGGGAUCCUUGGUUUCGGCUGGGGAUCCUAGUGGCGGACGGGUGAGUAACGCGUGGGGACCUGCCCCGAGCUCUGGGACAACCGCGGGAAACUGCGGCUAAUACCGGAUGAUGCCCUUCGCAAGGAGGGCCAAAGUCUCAUCGCGAGGUGGGGCGGCUUGGGAGGGGCCCGCGUCCGAUUAGCUGGUUGGUGGGGUAACGGCCCACCAAGGCUGUGAUCGGUAGCUGGUCUGAGAGGACGAUCGGCCACACUGGGACUGAGACACGGCCCAGACUCCUACGGGAGGCAGCAGUAGGGAAUCUUCCGCAAUGGACGAAAGUCUGACGGAGCAACGCCGCGUGAGUGAUGAAGGUUUUCGGA